rnacentral:lncRNA from 1 species
AUGGUAAACCAAGGACCAAUAGAGAACAGUGCCAUCAGUCCAGACAAAUCCGCCAGGCAGUCGGUGUCGUCCGACAAGGCCUUAUCUGACGGGGCAGAGUCUCAGAAUAACGCGGAUUCUGGUCCAAACACCGGAGAUGUCAGACAAGAUGACAUAGAGAAACGAGUUUGUGUGAACAAAGAUGGCAGUUUGUCUAUGGAAAUGAAGGUGCGCUUCCGGCUACAGAAUAAAGAAACAUUACAUUGGUCAACAAAAGUGAGGAAGACAAGAGACAAGAGCAGUGAAUACCUCAGGAGACACAAUUUUGCACAAGUUAGUGAUAUAAACUAUUCUGAAUCUGAAAACAUCUCCGUCGGAGACCAUGAUGAGGAUUAUAUGGACGGGUGCCACCACAGACACAGGGAGGAACCUCAGUGCCCUCACUGCCAGGAAUACGACGUCUGGAAGAAAAUCCCAGAAACACACGGGGCCAGUCGUUGCUUUCAUACCUCCAGCUCAAGCGCAUCUUCCCACACCGUGGUCUCCAGGAAGAUGCAGAUCGAAAGGCAGACCCUGUCCCGAUCAAGCGAUGAAAACGCAGAGCAAGUGGUGGAGAGUGAGACCUGUGUGGAGACUGUGGAGUACCGCACUGUCCAGAGUGAAAACUGCUCUCCAAAAUCCUCCACCGUGGAUAACAAUCAGGAUCAAGCAGCAUCCACACCGAGCUCUCUGCCUGAAGUAUUGGCAGACUUCAAGGACCAAAGUGAUGAAGCUCCACCAAGCGAUGAAGGAUCACCAACACAAUCAGGCUCUCUGAGUCCCACAGAGGCAGCAUCUAAUGCUUCAAGCAAGUCCAGAAAGUCCAAGAGAUCAUACUCUUGUAAAUGCAAAGCUUCUAAUGAGCAAGAAGGUGAUGAAAAGGAAAGAAUCGAGGCUGAGGACACCAAUAUACAGAGAGAUCAAACAAGUGCCAUGUCUGUUAAAUCAAAUUCCUCUGGCCAAUCACAGAAUUCGCAAGAAAUGCAGAAUGAGGAGUGUGGAGAUUCAACGGCGAACAGAUCCAGAAGUGCCAUGUCAGUUCAUUCAGAUGCCUCCAAUGUUGUCGAUGUUACAGAAGAAGAAAGUCAAAAUGAAGAGGAAAAAGAAAGUCGUGUGUCUGAGGAUUCAGAUAAAACUGGUCCUGGUGAAGAAGACGCUGAAGCAGGAACUGGGAGGGGAUCACCGAGCAACGUGUCGCUGUCAGCAAAGUCCGGUAUCUCUGUGUCUUCAAGGAACACUGAACUUCCUUUACCAGAGAGCAGUGGAAAUGUGCAAAGGUCACCCAGCGCCCUUUCAGUUAAAUCUGUCAGGUCUGACAGGUCUGCACGUUCAGUGAAGUCAAAAGCUUCAAAACUCUCUGAUAACUCAGAGGGUUUUGGAGAUGAUGUUGUGGAAAGCAACAAUGACACCGUAGGGAGAGCAAAGAGCUCGCUGUCAACCAGUUCCAGGAGGACCAACGUGACAUCUGCAUCUGCAAAAUCAAAGAGAUCUCAAGAGACUGAUCGAACUCAAAGUGUAAUGUCAAAUAAAUCAGAUGGGAAAUCAAACCAUUCUCAAAUCACUGAAAUUUCUGCUGAGGGAAAUGCAGUAGAUGAUGAAAGUGAAGGGAGAACCCCGAGCACCGUGUCAACCAAAGCACAGUCCAAUUUGUCUCUGAGGUCGACAAAAUCAAAAGUUUCACAGCUGACAACGGUCACUCAGCCCGAAGAGCUCGAUAGGAGUGUUAAAUCAGUGAAAACAAAUAUUUCGGCAAGAUCUUUGAAUACCGAUGUGUCUGUGGCUAACUAUGAAGAAACAAGGGAUCGCGCAGAUAUUUCUAUCACCAAAAGCUCAUGCACUGGUAGUGAUGCAGACACUGAAGUGACAUCAGAGAAGGCUACAAGUAUCACACCAGCCAAGUCAAAUGGAUCAGUCCGAUCUAAGAAAUCAACUGUAAACACAGCUGAAAAUACCCAUGACAUGGGGAGAACUCUCAGUCCAUCUGCGGCAAAAUCCCCUCGUCAAGAAGGGGUUUCUCCAGCCUUGUCCUCAAAAUCCAGGUUGUCCGUGCAAUCGAAGACAUCAAAAGCAUCUAAAGGGACAGAAAAGAAAAGUUCUUUAUCUGGUAAUUCCAAGGUGAAAUCACAAAAAUCGAACAAAACUGAUAUUUUGACAGUGGAACACGUGGAAAAUCAUGAGGAGGAUGCAGAACCAAACCAGAACCAAAAGCCGGUGAUUUGUCGUGCAGAUUCGGGUGAAACAGAUUUGUCACAAACCCUGUCGAGUUCAGACUUUGUAAAAGAAAAAGAUGAAGUUCGGUCCACUGAAACAAAACAAGGCUCAGACUUGGGGAGGAAAUCUGUUGACAAGAAAAGUGACAGAAGCAGCAAACGCAGGACAGAGGACGUAAACGAUGAGGACGUCAAUCUGGUCCCGUCGAAUUUACCAAACGCAUCCCCGACUGAGGUGGUGAACGAAUGGCUGAAAACGCUACCGGCAGAUGGCGACAUGUAUGACGUGGAGGGACUACACGAAGCCUGCAACAGAGAGAAAAGUGGCCACACAGCUGGAGAAAAAGGGGAAGAAGAAAAUGGCGACACAGCAGCUGAAAACAUAACGGACACGGGAGAAGAAGCAACAAAGAACGCAAGUGUCGAAGCAGUGAAUCCAGUGGAUGUCUGUGCUGAAGAAGAUGACGCCACAAAAAUAUUUAACUCCUCCAUUCAGGUGAUGAAGGUUCUCUUAAACCCCAAACCUGACAGAUGUAACAGUUUACCUGAAGUGUCUCCAGUCUAUGGACGUAAGCUGAGCAAUUCAGCCAGGGGCCUUCUAGAUAGCCUUGUGAAGCUGCAGUUAAUCGACAACAACCCCAAAAAUGCAGAUGAAAAGGAUGCAAGAUAUCAGGAACUCAUGAACAUCCUUCAGUCUCUCUGGCUCUGCGUUCCAACAGAGAAAGAGCACGUGCUGAGGAAGGAGGUGGAUGAUGAAUGCAUCCAUACAUCCUCAUCCGGCGUGGAUGUCAACAGCGGCUCGACGGGCUCGGGCAAAAGUAGCGACGGUGUUAAUACUGAUACAUCUCAAACCAACGCAGCUCCAAAUAUGUUGAAAGACACGCAAGAAGGCUGUGAGAGGAAGGAACAAUCAGAGGCACGGUGGGCCUGUGAGAAAGAAACUGAGGUAAUAUGCGAGCAAAAAGAGGAAGAUCAAGCCACAAAUGAAACGAUCAGAAGCAACGACAGUCCAAGAGAGGAUCCCGAGUCGCCGCCUUCUCCAAACCAGAGCUCUGGAUGCGACAGUGGUGACCAAAAACCUCCAGAGGAUGCUGACACAGUGGACAGUCAUUAUGAAGGACCUCUGCUCUUUCAAAAUGCAGAUCCAGCCAAAAAGAUUUCCCAAGACCCUGACCCUGUCUGGGUCCUAACCUUGCUAACCAAAAUAGAAAAGCAAUUCAUGAAACAUUACAUCAAUGCGAUGAAGGAGUUCAAAGUCCGAUGGAAUUUAGAUGAUAACGACCAG